GGAGGGGAGGAGAGAGGAGCAGGGUAGGGAGUGUGGGAUUAGGGCAACAAGGGAAGAGUAGGAAUAGGGUCAGCAGUUGGGAACAGAGUGGGAGAUCGGCAGCCUGGGACACACCUGCAUGCAGCAAUGCACCUAGCAGUGCCCAGGCAAUUACACACCCAUUUGGCCUUGCUCAAAACCACACCAGUCCAACUACCACAGUUCUCCUCUGUGCCAAACUUAACCAGCACGUGGUCAUCUGGGAUGGGACCCACUAGGGAAAUAGUCCCUACUGUGGAAAUAGUCUAAAUACUGCUGUGCAUAAUGCACUGGUCAUUGGUUAGGUCACCUGUCUGCUUUGGUUUCUGACAAACAUUGAAAUGCCAGAGCCACUUACCUGUACACAUAGCAUUGAACACACCAUGGUACUUAUUUUGCCAGCAUCAGGGUCUUCAAGUGAGAAGCCUAUUGUGACGAUCCACUGAGACUUGCAUCACCACUGCUUAGUUCCCCGUUUCGUUCAUGUACUCCUGAUCCUGUCGGUGGCACAGAAUAGUGACAUCAAUAUCUGCAGCAGAGUUUUGGAACUGCAAUUGUUUAAAUCCUUCAGUGAUUGCUACCACAUUGGCAACCUGUCAGUAUAGCACCAUUAAGAUCUCCAUGACAACAGAACUCACCGUGGUCUUUCCCAAACCCAAACUGGUGCUCGACUAUCCAUUAACUCUCUGGAGUAGCUAGCUCCCAAGAAUCAAUCUCCAUUUUCCUUUCCAUGGAAAACAGAGCUCUCCUCAUAGUUCUGCAAUGUUGAGGCUAGUUCAACAGAGAUGUACAGGAAAGUCUCUUCAUUUUAUUCCUUCUGAUGAUAUGCAGCCACUGGUGUUUUUCCUAGAUCUUGAGAACAACUGUCUUUUCACUCUGAUUCAGACCCAGUGCUUUACCCACAGUGAACAUCCUGCUCAAGUUCCACACAGAUCUACAUAUUCCCAAAGCGAUGUGAGUUAUGAGACUGUUUCAAAAAUAACUCUGUGAACUGCUGCCUUUGGUUUCUGACUCUCCACAGGUUCUCGGACUAGAACAUGCAACACUGCAGCCAUCUCAUAAUUGCUUUUCAAAAGUCCCAGUAAAUUUUCUUUCUGAGCAAGUAGCAAGGCCUGAGUGCCCAGCCUGGCCUCCAUUUUGAGAACAGGACUUGAAAAUAUCACCAGUUACUGGGAAUUUAUGGGCGAUUCUGAGGGACUGAUGAGAGUUUGACCACUACUCUGACACUUCCUCUGGGCUCUUAGCAGGGCCUUUCAAAGUCUCCCACAAAUCACUGCUUCAGGAAGCUGUGCUGAGAAAUAGGAAGUAGGUAUCCAGGAAGCAGUGAACAGUGUGAUGUAGUACAUAUGUGGACGAGGGGCAAAACUGCACCCAAAACUACAUGGCAAGUGUGAAUACUCUGUAUUGCUAGUUCUAACACCAGUGCUCUCCUG